rnacentral:tRNA from 1 species
GUGGAUAUAGCUCAGUGGUAGAGUGUGUGCUUAGCGUGCACGAGGUCCUGGGUUCAAUCCCCAGUCCCUCCA